AGCACGACGCACUGCAAACGCAUAAAUAUCAAGAGGACGCUGGGAAGGAAAAUGGAAUGAAACUCUCCAAGAUACCAAAGUUCCAAGCAAAGGAAUGGUUCAUUUACAGAAGAGCUAUGUCCUCCAUCAUUUGAGGAGGGUGCACUACGGCACAUGCUGCAUCCACUGAAGCAAGUGCAGCUGGCCUCUGCUCCUCUUCAGUCUGCAUUCCCCACAGCCGGGCUGGGCAGCUACUUCAGAGGGUCACACCGGAGGCCCCUGACCAAGCUGCCGCAUCCCUGUCGCAUUGCUGAGGUGUGACGCUGAGGGACUGACGUGCAACCAGACACCCCCCAUCCCAAUUAUGCACUACCCACAGAGACUUCCAGAGGCAUUUGGCCCUGGUGCAGUCAGAAUGGGGGCCACAGCUGCACUGAGAGCUGAUGUUCAAGCCUGAUGUGCCAUCUGUGAGCCUUUCAAGUGGGAUUUCCUUUAUUCUUUUCUUUUUUUUCCUUUUUUGGUUUCGCUCAGCUGUCAAGUGAUCAAACAACAUAAAUAAAUAAAACAUCCAAAAAUAACCUUC